AUUAGGGCCCCACCUUCUAUGACCUCAUUUAACCGUUACCUUCUUGGAGGCCCUGUUUCCAAAUACAGUCAUACUGCAGGUUAAGUCAAUAAAUGAAUUAUUGGGGGACGCAAUUCAAUCUGUAACAAGUAUUGUCUCAAUAUUGCAAACAAGAAACAUGAGGUUAAAGUUCUUGUCCAAGAUCUAGAUAAAGCCUUGGCACUUUUCAGUCUGCUUAUGGUUUUCAGUCUUUCUUAUCAAAUCUUGGAAAUUCAAGCUUCAAAGUAUGAAGUAGAAGAAAAGUAUGGUGUAUCAUAGAGCAGUGAGAAAUGAAUGAACCUGAGAUGAAGCCAGUGUGACUGUCUGCCAGUCAGCCCUGGAGCGAGGGGAUGGAAUAACCCAGAUAUAUCCACUGGCUCCUCUCCAAGCUUCAGCCAUGCCAUGGCUGGCACAUCACUGCCUCGUAGCAGCUUGGGUCCUGUGUUUGGGUCCUGACUCUCAUAUGACUUUGUGAGUGCUGGCAAAGACUCCCUCCUUGACCAAACUUUAGUCGGGUUCCCUGAAGCCUUCUUCUCAACUAGGCCUUGCCCUUGACCUGAUGAGCCAAGUUUUAGCAAUGAAUCUUGUUAAGUCCAUUUACUGAGAUUCUCUCACCCUCAACAUCCAAUCAAGCUCCUCUUCCUCCACCUAAUCAAGUUCCUGUUAGUAAUUUUCCAUCCACUCCCCCAGCGUGCUGAUUGGCUGUAAAUCCCCCCUUAUCCCUGAUGUAUUUGGGUUUCAAUCCUCUCACCUAUUGCAAUAAUCUUGACCCUUACUGCAAUAGCCUUGAAUAAAGUGUUCGUUGCUGUUUUUCACAGAUAUCAGGAUAAUUUUUCUUUAACAGUUUAUUAGGGGCAAGACCACGUCUCACAUUUCUCCUUACAUAUCUCCCCAACACAUAGUUGUGCCUCAGCUGGUGCACUGUCAAGAGGCAAGUGAGUGGGUGGGAGGAUGGGUGACACCUGAAAGUCCCAUGGCCUAGCUACAGAGAAAAGUCAAAGAGCACCUUGAAGCCUAUGAAGAAUGGACAGUGGGAUGAGCCUUAGGAAAAGGAAGAUAGAAGAGAAUAAAGGGAAGAAAACAGAGGGUUCCUAGCAGCAUGUCAGACUCAAUCGGAACCACCCUUACACUAUCAAUUUGGGACACUCCAGGAGCAAAGGGCCCCAGUCUUGAUGGCCUGAGGGCCCCAAGUCCAAGGGGCAGCACUUGGCAGAGGGACAAACACUGGAUAAUUAUCCUGGCCCUGACUUUGGUGUUCUCAGCUCUGCGACGUUAGGCAAAUCAGCUAACCUCUGUGACCCUCAGCCUUUCCAUGCAUGAAAUGACAGUAACAAUGGCUCCCUCACAGGUGCAAGUAAGAAUGGAGAGAUCAAUUUUGUUUAGGAAAACAUCUUAAUAAACCACGUGGAAGCGUGGCCAGCAAUGAGACUCUGAAGUUACAAGCCAUCAAUAACCAAGACCAAAACCUAGAAAACCAAGUUUGAAAAAGCCAGAGUCCCAUAGAGGGUGAGUACUGAUUUCUCUCAUUGCCUGACAUUAUAACAAAGAGGUUCAGGGCACAAAGAUGAGAUCUCACCUCCGUCUUCACCUCCCUCUUUUUAGUACUACUCCAUCCUUUACAGAUUCACCUACACACACUCACACAUGCACACACACCACUCCCUUUUCAGGAAGAAAGCUACAGGCUCCAGUUAAUUAGAAAUUCUACUAUUUCAGCUUUAUUACUUCCUCUUUACUCUCUGAACUUUAAAGGAACACAUUUCUGUAAAGUUUAAAUUAUUUCAAUGAGGUGUAUUACCUUUUUAACUGGGGGUGGGAGGGAAGCACUUUUUUUUUCUUUUUUUUUUUUUUAAUGUUGAAGACUCCACUCAGUCAUUUGAGCUCCAGGAAGCCUUCCCUGGCCACCCAUAAGUUAAGAGAAGAGCCCCUCUUCUGAGCUCCCAGAGCACCCACUUCAUACCUAUGCUAUAGAACACACCGCCAAGGACGGAAAUUAUCCAAAGGUUUGUGUCCAUUGAUUGCCAUGCCAGGCAUCCAGCUCUGCUGAAGCACGCAGGGGCCCUGACUUCCUCAUUAGGUAUUCUCAACACCUCCACCAGCAGCUGGUAGGCAGCAGAGCUAUUGUUACUGAGCUGCCCACGGCACCAAUGGAUCUAUGAAUGAACCUGAACGUCUUCCCUGGAGAAAAGCACUUGCUUGUCAAGGGAGGAACAGGGGUCUGAAAUGCUAACCCCUGCCCUAUAGUAUGGGUGUGCAUACGGUGCACCUUCCAAAGCCCAGAGUGGCAUUCUUAUUACAUCCCGGAAACCCCCUGGUCAGGGGCUUUUGGGGUGACAUCCAAUAUGUAAAUACCAGGGUCGGGUCCUGCUGAGUGGCAUAACAGUGCCAUAUGUGAAAGUUCCACCAGCAGCAGAGGGCUCUUUCAUUAGUCAUUUCACUGCACACAGCUGUAAGGAAUCUGGCGAAGCUUGAUUUGGCUGGGAGGAGUGCAUUUUCCACUUGUAGGCGUCUUGAAAACUUUCAUACUAAAAAAAAAAAAAAAA
rnacentral:lncRNA from 1 species